rnacentral:rRNA from 1 species
GAUUAACGCUAGCGGCAGGCAUAAUACAUGCAAGUUGAACGGCAGCACAGGUAGCAAUACUGGGUGGCGAGUGGCGCACGGGUGCGUAACACGUAUGCAACCUACCCUAUACAGGCGAAUAACCUUUAGAAAUGAGGGCUAAUACGCCGUAGUAUUACAGAUGGGCAUCUAUUUGUAAUUAAAGAUUUAUCGGUAUAGGAUGGGCGUGCGUCCCAUUAGUUAGUUGGUAAGGUAACGGCUUACCAAGACGAUGAUGGGUAGGGGAUCUGAGAGGACUUACCCCCACACUGGUACUGAGACACGGACCAGACUCCUACGGGAGGCAGCAGUAAGGAAUAUUGGGCAAUGGCCGCGAGGCUGACCCAGCCAUGCCGCGUGCAGGAAGACGGCCUUAUGGGUUGUAAACUGCUUUUAUACGGGAAUAAUAGAGUGUACGCGUACAUUUAUGCAAGUAUCGUAUGAAUAAGCAUCGGCUAACUCCGUG